UCCAGUUACCCCCAGCUGCAGAUGAGUCGGGUGAUGCCCAGAGGGGCACAGUAGAAAGCUCCUCAGUCCUGUCAGAAGGGCCAGGCCCCUCUGGAGUGGAGAGUCUCCUAUGCCCCAUGUCCUCCCACCUCAGCUUGGCACAGGGUGAGAGUGACACCCCAGGGGUAGGGUUGGUAGGGGACCCAGGUCCAAGCAGGGCGAUGCCAUCUGGCUUGAGCCCUGGGGCAUUGGACAGCGACCCUGUGGGCCUUGGAGACCCUUUAUCAGAGAUAUCAUCAAAGCUGCUGGAGGCAGGUAAGGAAGGCUGGGCUAGGGAAGUCUGGGAAGGGAAUGGGGAUGCCUGGAGAGAUGAGUGUCAAGACUUUGGAGGUCUCUGACCCUACUCAGGCUGAAGCCCGGGUCCAAGUAGGGGUCUCUGGAUAGGUGGUCCAAGGCAGACCCAAGUCAUUUCCCUUCCCAAGCCCCCAGUGGAUCCGGCCUCCCUAAGCCUGCUGACUGCCUCCUGGCCCAAGACCUCUGUUGGGAGCUGCUGGCCAGUGGUAUGGCCACCUUGCCAGGGACUCGGGAUGUCCAAGGCCGGGCAGUGCUGCUUCUGUGUGCCCACAGCCCAGCCUGGCUUCAGUCUGAGUGCAGCAGCCAGGAACUCAUCCGCCUCCUGCUGUACCUGCGAAGCAUCCCCAGGCCCGAAGUACAGGCACUGGGACUGACAGUGCUAGUUGAUGCCCGAAUUUGUGCCCCAAGUUCC
rnacentral:lncRNA from 1 species